rnacentral:rRNA from 1 species
AUUGAACGCUGGCGGCAGGCCUAACACAUGCAAGUCGAACGAGUGGCGGACGGGUGAGUACUGUCUGGGAAUCUGCCUGAUGGAUGGGGAUAACUACUGGAAACGGUAGCUAAUACCGCAUACCAUCGGAUGUGCCCAUAUGGGAUUAGCUAGUAGGUGGGGUAACGGCUCACCUAGGCGACGAUCCCUAGCUGGUCGGAGAGGAUGACCAGCCACACUGGAACUUAGACACGGCCCAGACUCCUACGGGAGGCAGCAGUGGGGAAUAUUGCAAAAUGGGAGCAAGCCUGAUGCAGCCAUGCCGCGUGUAUGAAGAAGGCCUUCGGGUUGUAAAGUACUUUCAGCGGGGAGGCGUUACCCGCAGAAGAAGCACCGGCUAACUCCGUGCCAGCAGCCGCGGUAAUUC